rnacentral:rRNA from 1 species
UUUAGUGACAAUCGCGGAGAGGUCACACCCGUUCCCAUGCCGAACACGGCAGUUAAGCUCUCCAGCGCCGAUGAUAGUUGGGGGCUCUCCCCCUGUGAAAGUAGGACGUCGCUAAGC